GUAGGUGGCAAGCGUUGUCCGGAAUUAUUGGGCGUAAAGCGCGCGCAGGUGGUUCGUUUAAGUCUGAUGUGAAAGACCCCCGGGCUCAACCGGGGAGGGUCAUUGGAAACUGGGGAACGUUGAGUGCAGGAGAGGAAAGUGGAAUUCCACGUGUAGCGGUGAAAUGCGUAGAUAUGUGGAGGAACACCAGUGGCGAAGGCGACUUUCUGGCCUGUAACUGACACUGAGGCGCGAAAGCGUGGGGAGCAAACAGGAUUAGAUACCCUGGUAGUCCACGCCGUAAACGAUGAGUGCUAAGUGUUGGGGGGUUUCCGCCCCUCAGUGCUGCAGCUAACGCAUUAAGCACUCCGCCUGGGGAGUACGGUCGCAAAGACUG
rnacentral:rRNA from 1 species